rnacentral:rRNA from 1 species
UACGUAGGGUGCAGGCGUUAAUCGGAAUUACUGGGCGUAAAGCGUGCGCAGGCGGUUUGCUAAGAGAGAUGUGAAAUCCCCGGGCUUAACCUGGGAACUGCGUUUCUAACUGGCAAGCUUGAGUGCGGCAGAGGGGGGUGGAAUUCCACGUGUAGCAGUGAAAUGCGUAGAGAUGUGGAGGAACACCGAUGGCGAAGGCAGCCCCCUGGGUCGACACUGACGCUCAUGCACGAAAGCGUGGGGAGCAAACAGG